rnacentral:rRNA from 1 species
CCUACGGGAGGCAGCAGUGGGGAAUAUUGCGCAAUGGGCGAAAGCCUGACGCAGCAACGCCGCGUGAGUGAAGAAGGCCUUCGGGUUGUAAAGCUCUGUCGGAUGGGAAGAACAGGGUGGGUGACCCUCACCCCUGACGGUACCAUCAAAGGAAGCACUGGCUAACUCCGUGCCAGCAGCCGCGGUAAU